rnacentral:lncRNA from 10 species
CAGAAUGAUUUUCAGAAACUGCUUUGUGAUGUGUGCGUUCAACUCACAGAGUUUCAACUUUCUUUUCAUAGAGCAGUUAGGAAACACUCUGUUUGUAAAGUCUACAAGUGGAUAUUCAGACCUCUUUGAGGCCUUCGUUGGAAACGGGAUUUCUUUAUAUUAUGCUAGACAGAAGAAUUCUCAGUAACUUCCUUGUGUUGUGUGUAUUCAACUCACAGAGUUGAACGGUUCUUUACACAGAGCAGAUUUGAGACACUCUUUUUGUGGAAUUUGUAAGUGGAGAUUUCAGCCGCUUUGAGGUCAGUGGUAGAAAAGGAAAUAUCUUCGUAUAAAAACUAGACAGAAUGAUUCUCAGAAACUGCUUUGUGAUGUGUGCGUUCAACUCACAGAGUUUAACCUUCCUUUUCAUAGAGCAGUUAGGAAACACUCUGUUUGUAAAAUCUGCAAUUGGAUAUUCAGACCUCUUUGAGGCCUUCGUUGGAAACGGGUUUUUUUCUUGUAAGGCUAGACAGAAGAAUUCUCAGUAACUUCCUUGUGUUGUGUGUAUUCAAC